rnacentral:rRNA from 1 species
CAGCCGCCGCGGUAAUACGAAGGGUGCAAGCGUUAAUCGGAAUUACUGGGCGUAAAGCGUGCGUAGGCGGUUUGCUAAGUCUGCUGUGAAAUCCCCGGGCUCAACCUGGGACCUGCAUUUGUGACUGUAUAGCUAGAGUACGGUAGAGGGGGAUGGAAUUCCGCGUGUAGCAGUGAAAUGCGUAGAUAUGCGGAGGAACGCCGAUGGCGAAGGCAAUCCCCUGGACCUGUACUGACGCUCAUGCACGAAAGCGUGGGGAGCAAACAGGAUUAGAUACCCGGGUAGUCCCUGUCUCUUAUAC